rnacentral:rRNA from 1 species
AUGAAUUUCUUAGCGUGGAACUGUCGGGGUGUUGCCAACGACCCGGCAGUUCGAGAUUUGGUUGGCUUGGUCAGGGCAUCCAAUGCUAGGUUGGUCUUUUUGUGUGAAACCCGCCAGAAAGCUAAUAAAGUUCGUCGUCUUCGUGGGAGACUAGGAUUAGGAGGUUUUGCUGGUUGUGACAGUAAUGGCCUUAGUGGGGGCUUGGCCCUUUUUUGGUGUGAUCAAAUU